rnacentral:rRNA from 1 species
UAUGUGAUCGUCUCUCGCAUAUCAAUAAGCGGAGGAAAAGAAACUAACAAGGAUUCCCCUAGUAACGGCGAGUGAAGCGGGAAGAGCUCAAAUUUGAAAUCUUAAAGGGUUUCCCUUUACGAAUUGUAGUUUAAAGAAGUGUUUUCUGUUGAGGUUUUGGUAAAAGUUCUUUGGAAUAGGACAUCAUAGAGGGUGAGAAUCCCGUAUUUGACCUUUACUUUCAACUUUGUGAUACACUUUCGAAGAGUCGGAUUGUUUGGGAAUGCAGUCCAAAAUGGGUGGUAAAUUUCAUCUAAAGCUAAAUAUUGGCGAGAGACCGAUAGCGAACAAGUACCGUGAGGGAAAGAUGAAAAGAACUUUGAAAAGAGAGUUAAACAGUACGUGAAAUUGUCAAAAGGGAAGCGUUUGACACCAGUGUUGUUUUUCUGAAAAUCAAUUAAAGAACUGUUUAUGCUAAGCUGUUUAGACUUUAUCAGCUAUCUGUUUAGUUUUGAGCUUUUCUUUAAUGCACUUUUCAGUUAACAAGUCAACAUCAAUUUCUUUUGCUGUAAAAAAGCUUGAGGAAGGUGGCUUGAGAUUCGUCUUAAGUGUUUAUAGCCUCUUGCCUAUGCAGUCGGAGAGAUUGAGGUCUGCAGCGUAGAUCCUUCGGGGCUAAAUGCAUUUGUGCUAAGUUAUAGCAUUUCAUAGACAACUUGUUGACUAUGGUUCGUCUUGUAGCUUACUCGCUUAUGUUAUUUUACCUACGCUUAGGAUGUUGAAGACUCUACAGAGAU